UCGGUGCAGCUUAGAGGUUUCUGUUUGAUAGCAGAAGCAGCUCGCAGCCCCGCAGCCCAAUCAACGUAGAUGACCACCGCUCCUCCUGGCUCUGAAUGAAGCUAACUGGAGACACCUGAGCUGGUCAGGAUUUUGUCCAGGCUUGCUUCAGUUUUUUUGGAGCUUUGUUUUCCUGCAGCACCGUAAUUCUCUUGCUGAAGGCCUCUGAAUGGUGGCAACUCACAACAGUUAACAGUCUUUCACCCCCACCCCAGGCUUAAACUGCUGGACUCAAAGGACUGCUUGUGGUUGAACACUGUUGGACCAAAAUUCUCCAGCCAGCUUGCAAAGAGCAGUUGAAAUGAUACUAUGGCUUCAUUUCAGCAAAGCAAUUGUAAGCUAAGACAACUGCUAAAUUGCUAGCAUCUACUGCAUCAAGAUGACUUACGAAUUAGGCCCAGGCCUGGGUUAUUAUCUCGUUAGAGUUGCAAUCUGAAGUCACAAUUGGAUUCUCCAGUUUCAGCUGUGACAUCUUUCUCAUCACUCACAGAAAACAGAUGUUUGACACUGGUAAAUCCUCAGAGGAUGAAGAUGUUUCUAAGUAGGUUUGCUGCUCAUGGGACCUUUCAGCCUGAAGAAAAAUGUUGUCAUUGUUGUCAUAAACAUUUCUCAAAACCUAAAAAGUGAGAAAGAAAAGGGUACUGUGUCCAAGUUUGGUCUGCGGCCCCCAGCACAAGAGGGAUGCAGAGCUGUUGGAGCAGAUCCUGAGGAAGGCCAUGAAGAUCAGAGCGCUGGAGCACCUCUCCUUUGAAGAAUGGUUGAGGGAGCUGGGCUUGCUUAGCUUGGAGAAGCAUAAGAAGUAAGUACUGAAGGAGAAAAUUGAAGUUCUUUAUGGGACUGAUGAUUAAAGAAAUACACCCUACUGUUGAACUGCUUGCCUGCUUAACUACCUGUGAUGUUGCUUUGCCAAAAUGCUCAGUACAUCUUUGAA